rnacentral:tRNA from 2 species
GGUGAUCGUAGCUCAGUUGGUUAGAGCGCUAGAUUGUGGCUCUAGAGGUCGGGGGUUCGAAUCCCCUCGUUCACCC